rnacentral:rRNA from 1 species
GACAGAGGGUGCGAACGUUGUUCGGAAUUACUGGGCGUAAAGCGUGUGUAGGCGGCUAUGUAAGUCGGAUGUGAAAGCCCCGGGCUCAACUCGGGAAGUGCACUCGAUACUGCGUAGCUUGAGUACCGGAGAGGUUGGUGGAAUUCUCGGUGUAGAGGUGAAAUUCGUAGAUAUCGAGAGGAACACCGGUGGCGAAGGCGGCCAACUGGACGAGUACUGACGCUGAGACACGAAAGCGUGGGGAGCAAACAGG